rnacentral:lncRNA from 1 species
GACCAAUUCCCCUUUACCCUGUCCACCCCCCAUCCCCCCCAGUUACCAAACGACAUCAUUUAGGUUACCGUCAAUCACAACCGUUGAUCUUUGAUGAUCCAACGGUUGGGAACUCAACACCCUUUUACUAUACAACUGUUCUAACCCCUCCUCCCCCAUACGCUAGAUAGACCUUCAUCCCUUCCCCUCGUUCUCUAACUUGUAAAUCCUAUCCACCUUAUUUUUCUCUCCAACUUCACACAGCCUAAACCCUAGCCGUUGCCCAUCAAAAAUCAUUUCACAGCGGUGGCCAAUCUCCAAACCCACCCAAAUUCACACCCCAUAACCUCCACACCAUCUUAAACUCAAAUCCCUUAUUGAUGUCUCCAAACAACCCCAAAAAAUCCCGGAAUUCCAAAUCUAAGAGGAGGUCAAUUUGUUCAACAAAGAUCUCAAGUUUGCUAUUUCCUUGGUGUUCGAGUUCAAAAGCUUGUUCUCUGAAGCUUUCUUCGCGGGUUAGGAUCUCAUGAGUCUUUUCUUUUAAGGAGAUCCAGUCAAAAUCUAUACAUGGUCGGAUGCCUUGAAGGAAAAGACCUUUAUUGGUCAAUUAGCACGGGGAAGGACGUCUCAGGCUGUCUUAUUUUUCUUUUACUUCAUAAACGGUAAGGUCUCACCACUGCCUUCUCCAUUCUUUUCUUUCUAGACUCGAGUUAGAAUUUCCUAUUUUUUUUAGUUAGUUCAUUAAUCUGUUUGUUUUUAGAGUCGUCCCUAAUCCAAUCCUUAUGCAUGUUCGGAUUAGUUUUUUAAGGGUUCAUUAACUUGGUUUAACUCAUGUUUAUUUAUUUUAACUCUUAAAAUAGUUUAGUUUAUUAUCGUAGUUCUAGUUAUUUUUGCCGUUUUGAAUCACUUUUUAGUAUGCUUAAAUUGCUUACUUAGCUUAAUUCUUAAAUAAUUUAGGUUAAUGUUAAUUAGUGUUUUGUUAUUUUGUGGCGCGAAUUAUUUGGUUAAUGUGUAUGAAGUACCUUAUUAGUUUAGUUUAGUUAAUGAAAUUUUUUAUUUCAUUCAGUACUUGUGUUUUAACUAUUUUAGCAUCAUUGAAAAUUAUAAGGGUUAAAAGAAAUCAAAACAGUAACUUAAGGGGUCAUUUGAGGGGUGCAAAAAUAGAAAAUGAAAUAAGGUCAUUAGAAGAUUCUAGAACAUGGGCAGCUAGCCCUAUUUGGCCAAUAGAAAUUGGUGAAGCCAAUGAGAAAUGGCUAGUUGUCCCCUUUCUGUUAGAAAAGAUGCUCUAUGGGCUGUUUAAGAAAAUAAUUCCCUUAUCAUUAGGAGCACAUGGGAGAUUUUAUCUCCUAUAUAAAACGCAGAACCCUGCCCUCACUGGACACACAAAAACAGAACUGAAAAUCUUGCUGAAAGAUCCAGCUUCCAGUUUUCUGAUUUUUCUUUCCAUUUACAAAAGUUUGGAAGAGCUUUUCUUUGAAUUUCUGGGUUCAUGAGCUGAUAUACGAGCUGACAUUUUGUUGUUGAUUCUGUUGUUCUCUACUAUCUUCUACUGAUCUUAGAGAUACCCUUUCUCAUUCUGUUCAUUUGUUGUAUCCAGGCACUCCUUUGAAUCUUGAAUGGCAAAUGGAAUGUAAGCAUGUUUUUGUAUAGGAUGUAUUUAUGCUAUAAAAUCAAUGAAGUUACUUGUGUUGGACUUUAAUUUUCAUGUCUAUUUUAAGCCAUUCAGUUAUUUCCUUUAUUUCUUCCCUUUUAACUCUUACUUAAAUAUUAUAAAUCUGUUGUACUUGUCAAUGAUUAGUUGAGGUAUUCAGUGUCAAAUAUUUUAGUAGUUCAUCAUUCAUGUACUGGAUCUGCUUGAAAAGUUCAAAACAAAUGUAUAGUGUAAUUAGCUCCUUUUUUUUAUUCAUUAAAUUGUGGUAUUGACUAAUAUGAUGGCCAUGGUUCAUUUGUUAAGUUUGAGAGAUUAGUUCCUAUGAUCAAGUUAGUGUACUUUUAGAAAAAGAAACUCCAUGUUCAAUUAUUGAAUAAUGUACAUACUUGUCACUUUAGAAUUCAAAUAUUGACGAAGUGAUUAGGCAACUGACUUAGACGUAAAUCAUUACUAGUUUAAAGUAGUUUUUUGGCAUAUGAGUCUUAAAAUUAGAAAAGCUUGUCAAGGUUUCGUUUAUUUAUCUAAAUUGUGUUCCUUGCUCAUGAAUGGACUAGCAUCAUAUUUUGUCAAUUAGUAUAUCUGUAAUUGUUCUGUUUCAUUGAAUAUUGGAGUUCGUAUUUCAUAGUUCUCUUUUUGUGAAACAUUUUGUAUUGCAUUUACUAUUUGUUAAUAAGUAAUUGGGUCAUGGGAAGAUAAGGGAGAUGGAUUGGAUUUUUGGAACAAAAAAUGUGCUGGGAGGGCUUGUCUAACAGUUGCAACGUUUUGGGCCUUAAGAUUUGCACGGGAGCUCGCCCAAAGAUAGUAAAUCAAAAUCCGGGCUCGUUUUUAACCAAGUAACCAUUACAUUUAAUUCCAUAGCUAAAAUCAUACAUUUCUGCCACUGUAACUCCACCUCGAUAAUUCAUGACCUCACAACAAUCUUUUAUGAACAUCAUAAUUUACGUUAGGCGCAUAAUUAAAGCAUCACGGUUAUGGUUCCUGUGGAAUAGUUGUGGUGCAUAAUUUCCAAAUAUUGAGGUACAUUUAUGUGAUCCGGUCAUAACUUCUCAUAAUUUUAAUAAAAUUAAACAUGUUGAAGAUCG